CUUCGAACCUCACGGAGUUUCACUAAGAGCUGUCACUACCAGAUAAGUGAGAGCAGAGGAAAAGGAACAGCAGGAGCCAAUGUUCAGAAGAGAAAGACUCCAUAGUUCUUCAGAAUGUCAGACCCAUGAGACCAAGAAUGAGCCUGACUCUAUUCCACUGAAACUUCUCUAGAACCUGAGUUCUCCACAUGUGGAAAAGCCUCAACAAGCAUCUGCUCAAUAAAUGAAAGAAUAAAGUU